rnacentral:rRNA from 1 species
UUCUGGUUGAUCCUGCCGGACCUGACUGCUAUCGGAUUGGUACUAAGCCAUGCGAGUCAUUGUAGCAAUACAAGGCGGACGGCUCAGUAACACGUAGUCAACCUAACUCGUGGACGUGGAUAACCUCGGGAAACUGAGAAUAAACCGCGAUAGAUCACAAUACCUGGAAUGGUUUAUGGUCAAAAUAGUUUACUGCCAUGGGAUGGGACUGCGGCCUAUCAGCUUGUUGGUGAGGUAAUGGCCCACCAAGGCGAUUACAGGUACGGGCUCUGAGAGGAGAAGCCCGGAGAUGGGUACUGAGACACGGACCCAGGCCCUAUGGGGCGCAGCAGGCGAGAAACCUUAGCAAUGUGCGAAAGCACGACUGGGUCAGUCCGAGUGAUCCCUGAUGAAGGGGUCUUUUGCUUGUCCUAAAAGCACAGGUGAAUAAGGGGGGGGCAAGUCUGGUGUCAGCCGCCGCGGUAAUACCAGCACCUCGAGUGGUCAGGACGUUUAUUGGGCCUAAAGCAUCCGUAGCCGGCUUUGCAAGUCUUCGGUUAAAUCCAUCUGCUUAACAGAUGGGCCGCUGGAGAUACUACAAAGCUAGGGAGUGGGAGAGGCAGACGGUAUUCAGUGGGU